rnacentral:sRNA from 1 species
AUUUAUUUGCGUUAGGGAUAGAAACGACAUCCUUUUUUGGUUUUCACAAAAAAGAUAUAGUGGAUAGCCCGUAAAAAC